AAAAUUACAAAAGAUACAAAAGGGAGGACACCAGGGGUACAGACGGGCAAGUAUUGAAGGUAAUCAGAUACAAUUUCUAAAAAUAAAAACACUCACGGAAACUAACAUCUCAGUGGAUGGCUGAACCACAGAUUCUUCUCAGCCGAGGACAGAUUAAUGUCCUAAAAAAAAAUUCACUUGAGGAAGUUACCCAUCAGGAGUAGAGAUAAACACACCAAUUCAAACAAUAAAAGGAAGGCUAAGAGAAAGGGGAGAAGACGGGAGCCCCAAAGGGAAGAACAGAAAGGAAAGGAAGUGUUAAGAAACAGUGACUAAGGAUCUCCCACAACAGUGAAGGGCAGUCCUCAGAUUCAGGAAGCAAAAGAAU
rnacentral:lncRNA from 1 species